AGGUGACGAUGUUGGGUUAACUUUUGAAUUUUGUUGGCUGGGAUGGUCACUCUAUCACCAAAGGUCAAAUUUUUCUCAAUGUUUCGGGAGGGCUUUUGCACAUGCAUCCGCAUAUAUCCCACAAAUAAAUCCAUCGAAUAAAUCCAUCAUAUAUAUACUAUAAUUACUAUACUACUCCACUACUGAGUUUUCAGCAGGGUCAUGGCCAUGCAUAGGAGCUUCCAUUUGAGAUGAAUUACAUUAUUGUGCCGCUAUAAUACAUAUAGCCAAGAUCAGCCAAUGUCUGAUCCCAUGCAUAAAGAGUACUUAUUUAUUUCUUUUGGUUGGCCCCUAACUAUGUAGCUACAACGCUUAGUGUACUAAGUAAAAAAUAACCUUUCACUCAUCACUUAUUGCACAUGUAUUUCAACUUGUAGAUACAGUGCCAAUGCCAGUACUUCCUGCUGGAAAUCAGAAUACUCUCUACACCUACGGAGGGAACAUCGAUACAGAUGGUCUUCCUGAAUACGAUGGAAUAACGUAAUAUGAAAUUGUGAUUGAAAUAAUUUAAUCUAAACAGCAAAUACUAAAAUUACGGUAAUUGUUCUAGUGGAACGGACUGCAUACAUGGACUUGGAAAGCCCCUUAUAUACUAGCACAAUGAGUUCCGCAUGUUGAUGAUGCCCAACUAAACUAUACCAGCGAAGGUGGUUUUUUAUCAGUAGAAGUUGUACCCAUUGAAUUUCCUGCAUUUUGAUCGGUCGUAAUUGACAUGUCACCAGUCACAAGAACCUUUUAUACAAAUCUGAGAAAAAUCUGAAUUAAAAUUUCUAUUAAAUGCAACUAAUACUAUCAGCGUUCAAUUAAAAGCCUAUAUAUUCAUUUCACCGCUACAGGGCUCAUUGAGUAUAAGUGUUCGAU